UACGUAGGCAGCAAGCGUUGUUCGGAAUUACUGGGCGUAAAGAGUGUGUAGGCGGUGCUCUAAGUUCGGUGUGAAAUCUCCCGGCUUAACUGGGAGGGUGCGCCGGAAACUGGAGUGCUCGAGCGUGGGAGAGGAAAGCGGAAUUCCUGGUGUAGCGGUGAAAUGCGUAGAUAUCGGAAGGAACAUCAGUGGCGAAAGCGGCUUUCUGGGCCUUACCUGACGCUGAGACGCGAAAGCGUGGGGAGCGAACAGG
rnacentral:rRNA from 1 species